UGAGAACGGGACGUUUUUCAUCAUUAUCAAAAAGGUAGAAUAGCCGCAAGGCUUGAGAGGUGAGGGUGAGAAAAAGUGGUAUAAAAGGAUAGAGAAAAGGCGAUAGAGAUCAGUCAAGAGAGUAUCUCCGACCCGACAACAACUGUAUUACUUGUCACCAACUGCAUUAUUCCCAUUCGUAAUCGAAGAUAAUUAUGGCGUCGUUCUGCUGUUGGUUAUCGUUGUGUCGACCAGUGAUGUACCGAUGUCUCCUAGGUAUGGCGGUUACCGAAUCACUACUCCGCCGUCUUACUACAAAACAACAUCAAACGCAACGACCAGUUACUACACCAAGCCCCCCAACUACUACACUGAGGAGGCCGAAUGUUGCACAGCCACGUAUGCUGCCCCAGUUUACUACACCGAGGCCCACAAGUAUUACUCUGCUCCCAGCUACUACCAGAGGCUUCUGACUACACUAAGGCCCCCGAGUAUUAAAUUGAAACUUACGCUGCCCCCAGAUACUACACUGAAGCUCCGAAGUUAUCCACCACCAAGGAAAUGGAACAACCCAAUCUACGCUUCUCCAUCUUACUACACACAGCAACAACUGUAGUGCGCUAUUAGUCACCAAGUGCAGUCUUGAUCGUGCAACCAAUUCUCAUGCUUAGAUCUGACGUCGUGCUGCUGUUGGGUGUUCUAUCGUUGAUAGCGGGUUUACCACUAGUGUACCAGACUCCACCGAGGUUGGAAGUGAAACAGAAUGAGAAAUUCAUAAAGAAGGAGAGGGAAAAUGCGACGAUCAACUGAGAGAGCAUCACCGACCCGGCAACAACUGCGGCACAAUAUCUGUCACCAACUGCAUUCUUCUAAUUCUCUAUCAUGGUUAUCUAUGGCAUCGUUCUACCGUUGGUUAUCGUUUAUUGCUGAUUCGACCACUGUUCCUGAUAUCUCAUGGAUAUGGAGGCUACCAAACCGCAACGUUGCCGCCUAACUACAUAACACACGCAUCAAACAGUUACUACACCGAGGUCCACAAGUAUUACUCCAUAUUAUCUCAGCUACUACCGAGACCCACCUGCACUACACAACUAAGGCACCCGAGUAAUACAUCAUCUACGCUGCUCCAGCCUACUACACCGAUGCUCCCAAGCACUACACCACCUGAGAAUCGGAGUACUACGCGACUACGUAUGCAUCCCCAGCUUACUACACCUAUGCUCCCGAGUAUUAAUCUUCUCCAUCUUACUACACUGAAUGAUUGCUACUCUGCACCCAGCUACUUCCCCACAACUGAGGCGGCCGAGUACUAUGCAGUGCCUACUUACUACACAGCGGCUGCUACAUCGUACUACUAACUACGUUGAUCCGAAAUACUACUCCGGGGUUUCAGUUUACUUCAAAAAAAUCUACGCUACCCUGACCUACUACACUGAAGCUCCUGUUAACUGCAUAAUCAAGGCACUCGGGUAUUUCACCAAUACUUAGGAUGCCCCGACCUACUGUACCGAAGCUGCGAAGUAUUCCACUGCCCCGAGCUACUACACCAUUAAGGCACCUGAAUGUUACAUCACAACCUUCGCUUUUCCGGUUUUCUAAAGGGAGGCUGAGCCGAAAUUUCUGAUUUAUUUAUUUUUUGUUCAGAUAUGUCGGUCAUAUUUUACUAAUCACUGGGAACCGUCGUUGAUCUUAAA